rnacentral:rRNA from 1 species
CCCUUAGAUGUUCUGGGCCGCACGCGCGCUACACUGACUGGUGCAACAAGUGUCGCUCCUUGGCCGACAGGCCCGGGCAAUCUUUGAACGCCGGUCGUGAUGGGGAUAGACUUUUGCAAUUUUUGGUCUUCAACGAGGAAUUCCUAGUAAACGCAAGUCAUCAACUUGCAUUGAUUACGUCCCUGCCCUUUGUACACACCGCCCGUCGCACCUACCGAUUGAAUGGUCCGGUGAAGCCUCCGGAUUGGCGCGCACCUCGGUGCCGCCGAGAAGUUGGCUAAACCUUACCAUUUAGAGGAAGGUGAAGUCGUAACA